UAGAAUUCGACCGAGUCUGUCACGACUGCGUCCCGAUUCUACCGAAUGUAAUCCGACAGAGAUCAGAUAGUGACAAGACAGUGAACCGACGCUGACGGGAGUUAUCCGUUCGAACAAAUUUCUCCAGAUCAUUCCCGUUCCACAGGACACCGUCCCGAAUACACAGAACAUUGUUAGGAAUUCGAUCCGAUACAGCAGAAUCUGUCACGACAUAGGCACGAUUGUAAUACGACUAGACAAAAUCGGCUGAGUUUCCCCGAAUGUUACGGGACGCACCUAACUGUCGGGGUGCUUUGCCGAACUAUUCGGACCCUUCCCGACCAGUAGGAAUCUGUUACGAACUAAAACGACUGCGUUCAGACAAUAAUAGGACAUUCCAGAUAAUUGAGGAUACUAAUCCGACUUUUUCACUUUUCGUGUCGUAUCGCUGUGUGAUCUCAAACGGGAGUAAUAAUCGGCAAUGUGUGAACCCCGCAUUA
rnacentral:lncRNA from 1 species